rnacentral:rRNA from 1 species
GGGGAAUAUUGCGCAAUGGGGGCAACCCUGACGCAGCAACGCCGCGUGCAGGAAGAAGGUCUUCGGAUUGUAAACUGUUGUCGCAAGGGAAGAAGACAGUGACGGUACCUUGUGAGAAAGUCACGGCUAACUACGUGCCAGCAGCCGCGGUAAUACGUAGGUGACAAGCGUUGUCCGGAUUUACUGGGUGUAAAGGGCGCGUAGGCGGACUGUCAAGUCAGUCGUGAAAUACCGGGGCUUAACCCCGGGGCUGCGAUUGAAACUGACAGCCUUGAGUAUCGGAGAGGAAAGCGGAAUUCCUAGUGUAGCGGUGAAAUGCGUAGAUAUUAGGAGGAACACCAGUGGCGAAGGCGGCUUUCUGGACGACAACUGACGCUGAGGCGCGAAAGUGUGGGGAGCAAACAGGAUUAGAUACCCUGGUAGUCCACACCGUAAACGAUGGAUACUAGGUGUAGGAGGUAUCGACCCCUUCUGUGCCGCAGUUAACACAAUAAGUAUCCCACCUGGGGAGUACGACCGCAAGGUUGAAACUCAAAGGAAUUGACGGGGGCCCGCACAAGCAGUGGAGUAUGUGGUUUAAUUCGAAGCAACGCGAAGAACCUUACCUGGGCUUGACAUCCCUGGAAUCGAGUAGCGAUACUUGAGUGCCUUCGGGAAUCAGGUGACAGGUGGUGCAUGGUUGUCGUCAGCUCGUGUCGUGAGAUGUUGGGUUAAGUCCCGCAACGAGCGCAACCCCUAUUGUCAGUUGCCAUCAUUAAGUUGGGCACUCUGGCGAGACUGCCGGUGACAAAUCGGAGGAAGGUGGGGACGACGUCAAAUCAUCAUGCCCCUUAUGCCCAGGGCUACACACGUACUACAAUGGCCGAUAACAAAGUGCAGCGAAACCGUGAGGUGGAGCGAAUCACAAAACUCGGUCUCAGUUCAGAUUGCAGGCUGCAACUCGCCUGCAUGAAGUUGGAAUUGCUAGUAAUCGCGGAUCAGAAUGCCGCGGUGAAUACGUUCCCG